rnacentral:rRNA from 1 species
ACUUAUGGAUCACCCUGAACAAACUGGAUCCUGUCUGAUCUCGGAAGCUUAGCAGAGUUGGGCCUGGUUAGUACUUGGAUGAGAGACCACCUAGGAAGACCAGGUGCUGUAGACG